GAGGGAAUACCAGAGUGGUCAAAUGGGUCGGACUCAAAAUCCGAUAGCUUAGUGCUUACAUGGGUUCAAAUCCCAUUUCCCUCA
rnacentral:tRNA from 1 species